rnacentral:tRNA from 1 species
GGGGAUGUAGUUCAGUGGUAGAACUUAUGCCUAGCAUGUAUGAGGUACUGGACUCUAUCCCCAGCACCACCA